AUAUUCCUCAUGUGGUCUGUGUAUCUAACCGACCGUAGCAGGUGGAAACGUGUCUGUCCAGAGAUAUUCCUCAUGUGGUCUGUGUAUCUAACCGACCGUAGCAGGUGGAAACGUGUCUGUCCAGAGAUAUUCCUCAUGUGGUCUGUGUAUCUAACCGACCGUAGCAGGUGGAAACGUGUCUGUCCAGAGAUAUUCCUCAUGUGGUCUGUGUAUCUAACCGACCGUAGCAGGUGGAAACGUGUCUGUCCAGAGAUAUUCCUCAUGUGGUCUGUGUAUCUAACCGACCGUAGCAGGUGUAAACGUGUCUGUCCAGAGAUAUUCCUCAUGUGGUCUGUGUAUCUAACCGACCGUAGCAGGUGGAAACGUGUCUGUCCAGAGAUAUUCCUCAUGUGGUCUGUGUAUCUAACCGACCGUAGCAGGUGGAAACGUGUCUGUCCAGAGAUAUUCCUCAUGUGGUCUGUGUAUCUAACCGACCGUAGCAGGUGGAAACGUGUCUGUCCAGAGAUAUUCCUCAUGUGGUCUGUGUAUCUAACCGACCGUAGCAGGUGGAAACGUGUCUGUCCAGAGAUAUUCCUCAUGUGGUCUGUGUAUCUAACCGACCGUAGCAGGUGUAAACGUGUAUAUGUCCAGAGAUAUUCCUCAUGUGGUCUGUGUAUCUAACCGACCGUAGCAGGUGUAAACGUGUCUGUCCAGAGAUAUUCCUCAUGUGGUCUGUGUAUCUAACCGACCGUAGCAGGUGGAAACGUGUCUGUCCAGAGAUAUUCCUCAUGUGGUCUGUGUAUCUAACCGACCGUAGCAGGUGGAAACGUGUCUGUCCAGAGAUAUUCCUCAUGUGGUCUGUGUAUCUAACCGACCGUAGCAGGUGGAAACGUGUCUGUCCAGAGAUAUUCCUCAUGUGGUCUGUGUAUCUAACCGACCGUAGCAGGUGGAAACGUGUCUGUCCAGAGAUAUUCCUCAUGUGGUCUGUGUAUCUAACCGACCGUAGCAGGUGGAAACGUGUCUGUCCAGAGAUAUUCCUCAUGUGGUCUGUGUAUCUAACCGACCGUAGCAGGUGGAAACGUGUCUGUCCAGAGAUAUUCCUCAUGUGGUCUGUGUAUCUAACCGACCGUAGCAGGUGUAAACGUGUCUGUCCAGAGAUAUUCCUCAUGUGGUCUGUGUAUCUAACCGACCGUAGCAGGUGGAAACGUGUCUGUCCAGAGAUAUUCCUCAUGUGGUCUGUGUAUCUAACCGACCGUAGCAGGUGGAAACGUGUCUGUCCAGAGAUAUUCCUCAUGUGGUCUGUGUAUCUAACCGACCGUAGCAGGUGGAAACGUGUCUGUCCAGAGAUAUUCCUCAUGUGGUCUGUGUAUCUAACCGACCGUAGCAGGUGGAAACGUGUCUGUCCAGAGAUAUUCCUCAUGUGGUCUGUGUAUCUAACCGACCGUAGCAGGUGGAAACGCGUCUGUCCAGAUUAUCUCUAUAUAAUGACGAGAUGCUCAUGUCUCUAACAAUGGAAGUCGUUGUCCCAAAGCCAGGACGUUAGGCGACAAGCUGAGAUCCAAAAUAAUCCCGAAGAAACCCAUUGAUCUUAUUUUGGACAGAUUCUGAUCCGUCUCAGAGCUGGAAAAAGUCCAUUGUAGUUCAUUACCAUGUUUGUGCGCUGAAUAUUUGCUUAAUGAGAACUACAACUCCCUACAGGAAUGUUCAUGCCCAUAAUGCAGUGGCUGUACAGUAUUAUAACUGUGUGUGUGUGUCUGUCCUAGGCGUGUACAGGGAAGUUCAUGCACAUAAUGCAGUAGCUGUACAGUAUUAUAACUGUGUGCGUGUGUGUGUGUGUGCGUGUGUGUGUGUGUGUGUGUGUGUGUGUGUGUGUG